GCGGAGCGCCCGGCACACGCCGACACUUCAGCACCAGUGGCGGUGGCCACCACUGUGGGCGGAGAUGGCUGCGACGCGUGCGCAGGUAAAGUCUAUGCGCGCCUUGCCUCCCACCGGCGCCUUCCCCGGCCUCUGGUUUUUGUCCCCGCCAGCGGCUCCGACUCCAUCGCGUCCUCUUCCAGUCUAGUGCUUUUUUCCAGAUCUCGAUCCCAAACUCCCUCCUGCCAGAAUCUGGACCCGAAUCCACCCAUUGCCCGUUUUCCGCUGCCGCUGGAGAGAAUCUCUGAGGUCCCCAGGAGAGCCUGCCUGCACGGAAGAGACGCCUCCUCGGGAAAUUUGUGCACAGAGAUAACACAGGGGAUAUGCCAUAUGAAGAUGAAGGCAGAAUUCUACAAGCCCAGGGAUGCCAAAGAUUGCCAGCAAACCACCAGAAGCUAGGAGAGAAGUGUGGAUUAGAUUCUUCCUCACAGCCCUCAGAAGGAUCCAGCCCUGCCAAGAACUUGAUCUCAGACUUCUAGUCUCCAGAACUGUGAGACAGUGCAUUUUGUUUUGUAAGUCAGCCAUAUGGUUUGUGGCACUUUUUUAUGGCAGCCCUAGGAGAUGAAGACAAUAUGCAACAUGGUAUGUCCAUUAUAGGACACUGUGGGCCAUAAAUGUGUUCUUUGGCCUGAAGAAAUAAAACUUGGUGGUCCAA
rnacentral:lncRNA from 1 species